ACCUGGGUGGCUCAGUCGGUUGAGCGUCCGACUUUGGCUCAGGUCAUGAUCUCACAGUUCGUGAGUUCAAGCCCCACCUCAGGCU
rnacentral:tRNA from 1 species